GUAACAUUUUGGAGGCUCGCUCGGGAAAUUCCACAGGCAGACCCCCGCUUUGAGAAGGGCCCCGGUCUCCGGACCCUCUAGCCCUUCUUGAAUGGCUUGGAGCCACAGCUGAUUUCAGCUUCCAUCAGAGAGAGGCUAGGGACUGCAGGUCUUGGCCACAAAGAACAAAGCAGAGUUCCACACCUCCGACUAGACUGUCCUUUCCCUCUGCUGGGCCGAGACCUUCUUCAAAAGCUAAGAGGCUGUUGGAACUACUACAGGACAAGGGAUAUCGAGUCUCUAAGAAAAAAGCUCAGGUCAUCAACCACCAUUGUAGUUGCCAUCCUGGAACAUGGGUGCCAUAAAAAGGAGAGAUCUUCAAACCCAUGGUAAAGCCUGCUGCCAAUAGACUUGUCGUGGAUUCUACAAUGGACUGAUUCUAUUAACAUGCUUGUGUACAAAGAGAACAUCUCUACAACUACACCCUCAAGCGCCAUUGGAUGGACUCUACUGGACCUAGCCAGGCCAUACUUGCUUCCCUGCACCUUCCUUGUGCCCAACAAGCUGUGGUGUUCAUUGUUCCUAUAUGUAAGAUGACAAACCCCCAUUUUGGAGCCCAGGCUGCCAUCGUAUGACACACUUUGUAUUUCUUAGAAAGAAAAAUAUGUCAUAGAGGGGGGAAUGUAGGGGGCAAUGAAUCUUAGCAUACUAUUUUAGAUAAAA